AUGCAGGGGUGGACACAGCUGACACUAAUGGACAUGAUGAGAAGCAGACCUACAAAGUAAAACCGGAAACACACAGACUGUUUUACAACAAAACACGCAGGGACCUGAACGGAGCACAGAGGGGAGACACAGUUCCUCUGAGUUUUCUCUUUUCCAACACCGUGGCAUUUGUGGAGGGUGAGGUUGGAGCACACUCUUUUUGUCCCCCUUCUUAAAAUAAAGCUAGCAGGAGUACAGCAGAAUGUGUUCUCAAGAAAUCAAUCAAUCAGUGUCCAGAAGUAGCUGGAGGGAGACACACAUCUUUCUUUUCAUCUCUUACAUCUACUAUUCAGCCUCCCACAUCUGCCCAGGCUAUUGAAAAGCACCGGCUGACCCAGGUAUAAUAGAGCAUGCCAUGGGGAUGUCCCAGUCAUUGGCCAGGGAGUCAUCUAAUUAGAUAUGCUUGAUUUUUAAAAAGUGGCUUGCGCAGAAAUCUGUUAACGAGAGAAGCUGAAUAUCCUUUGAAUUUCCCGUCACCUUUCCCUCCCUGUGAGCUUUGGCAGGCACAGAAAAAUCUUUAGAUCUGUAGUUUACUCUGACAGCUUCUACACAUUGAGUACUGCAAGCAAGUGAACUCUAAAAAGAUACGAAGAGUUAUAUACAAUCUGCACUUUGAAUGACGAUAUUCAACCUGACAAAGUGCACCAAUUGGUGAAGUGAGCAAAACUACUUUGUGUUAAAGUUUGACCUCAGAGUUUUCUAUCAGGUCAUUGAACAUGUUUGCUGUUCAGCUUGAAAUAUAUUCCUUACAAGAGAAACUGUUUUACUCCUGACUUCCUUACUGGACCGGGCUGGAUAGAGUCAGUCGUCACACAGUCAGUGACUGGUUUUAAAAGUCUUCAUGCUUCACAACUGCCAGUGUCUUACUGGGAGAAUACAGCACUGAAACCAAAAUAUAGCCAGGAAAAAUGAGAACUGAAAGCUGGAAAGCUAAAGUACGGGCCACAGCUGGGAGACGUGUGCUGCACUGAUUUAAACGAAUGGAACUGAUGAGUGAAGAGAAAAGUUGGGUCAGGUAACACCACUGCUGCGAAUAGUCCUGCUCUUUCAUUUUAGGAUGCAUGACAUUUAAUUUGAUUUGCCUUAUGUUGUGUUGUUUUGUCAUGUAUCACACACAUUUUGGUUAUUUUCAUGUUCUAUUGCUAAAAUGUGCACUUUAUAUUAGGCCCAUACUGAGUUGUAACUUAAACAGCCAUAUCUUUAAAAAAGGAAAGAAAAAAGAUGAUGAGAGAUGAAUACUCGUAAAACAAUUCAUUACUCAUUUUCCCUUUUAAAAAAUGAAUACUCCCCAAAAAGAUUAACUGUGCUUCAAAUCUGCUACUUUAUAAGUCCCAAUUUGCUGUUUUGUCCUCAAGACAUUUCUCCAGAGCUGCUUCUUCUCCUCUGGUUGUAAUUUGUCACUUUUUACAACUUUGUUCUUUCUGCCUGGAUUCUCCACACACUGAUGAACACUUAAACACCACCCCCACUGUUUGCAGCACUUUCCCUGCCAGUUUGACACCUUGUGAUGUUUGUUAGCGUCUCUCCUCCAGGCUUUGUCUGGAAAUAGCAAUUUAUUGUCAAUACAAAAUGAGGUUAAAUAAAUGAAAGAAUAUGCAGA